rnacentral:lncRNA from 1 species
GUGUGUGUGUACACGUGUGCAUGCACAUGUGCAAUUUGAUUCCUUGCUCCUUUAGAGCUUAUGUGGUCACUUCCUUUUGUGUAAAGCAACAGCAGAGCGGGGAAAAAUUGCUUGGGUGAUAUUCUUUCUAUAGGUGAAAACGCCCCUAUGUAAAGCAAGGCCAAAGUACUAAGAAGUGUUUCAUGGAGCCAGCCACUGUCCAAGGGAUGAGUCUUGUGUUUGCUGUGCCAUACUCUGCAUUCUCCUUCUUUUCUUUAUAUCCAUGACAAUUCAUCUGGGACUGUUCCUGUUCCCUUUAGUGGCUGCAGACGAAUUCUGAAGUUACCUUUUUCCACUAGAUAUCCACCAAGUUCUGAGACAGGAACUCCUGCGGCUGAGCUGUGGGUAAACUGCAUUGAUUGCAACUUCUGUAAUCCGACUUGGUCCACCCCUGUCAUCUUGAUAAGUCAAACUCCUUUUGCCACUUCUUUUGUUGAUGUUACGAGCCUGGUUUUUUAAAGUUGUGGGGGAAAAAAAAGGUACUAUUUUUCAGCCUGUGAAUGACAGAUUUUUCACAGGGAUUUGCCUUUAACUUCUUUCAUGCUCUCCUGAAAUUAAUUUUUCUCAGUCUGAUGUUUCUAAAUUGCCUCUCUUCUAGUUCUUACAUUGUGCUUCUCUUUUGCUGAUGUGCUGAAGUGCACAAUUUGAACUUUUUUGUUUUGGUUUUGUUUUUCAAAACUUCAAGGAAAAGAAUAAUCUCCUCUAGUUGUCGAAGUUUACAUCAGGAGGAAGCAAACUGUACCCUAGGUCUGCUCCAUUCAUUAUAACCUUGGCAUUUUGAAUAUUAAAACCAAGAUAAGUAAAUUGACCAUAGUAUUUUUGACAUAACAUUAACGUAAGAGUGAAGAAGGUUAUUCCUCAGGUUUGUUCUACAGAUUUAUGUUUCAGGAAUUUGCAAUGGGUUCAUGUUGAUUUUACCCGAAAGUCUCCACAGAAAUCUUUUUUAAGAAUUUAAACUUACAUAUUCCUGACACACUGCAUCCCUUCCAAGUUUGUUUGGUGAUGCAGGAAAUUUUUCAAAUUUCUCUAGUGUAAGUUUCUUCACUUCACAGUAUUUUUUUUCUUCCCUUUCUGUUCUGUUCAUGAACAGAAGAAGAUUGAAUUAGUCUUAUCAGCUGAAACAAUAUGAUCUUUAUGAUUUCUGAAAUUUAAGCCAAGGGAGUAGAAAUGUAAUGGUGUCUACUUGUCAAGAUAGAUGGAAAUGUGAAAUUCAAACAAGGGAUCAUUGAGGAAUGCUAUUUUUAUUACAAGAUAUUUAUUUAACUAUACAAUAUUUUCUUCCUUCUGAGGUACCAUUAGAUAUAUAAUAUAAAGUAAGAAAAAAAAUGUUUAUUAUAUCAAUCUUCUUUUAUAAUAAAUUUAUCAAGUAGAAAGUGCA